rnacentral:lncRNA from 1 species
GUUCCUAGCUGCUCUAUAACUUUAUUCCAUUGAUCAAUAUGAUCUGUACCAGGAAAUAAAACACCACCUUUGAUCAUUUCUCCCAUGAUGCACCCAACUGACCAAAUGUCAACGUUUUCUUUGUAUCCCAUCCCUAGGAUGACCUCUGGUGCUCUGUAGUAACGAGUCACUACAUAAGGCGUCAUCAUAAAACUAGUUCCUGCAGUUCUGGCCAGUCCAAAGUCAAGAAUCUUCAAAGUGCAGUCUGACUUUACUACUAUAUUACUGGGCUUUAAGUCCUUUAAAAAGAAACAUCAUAUAUGACCACUAAGACAAGCACAAAGUACUCGUUGGUUCACAUUUUUAAAAGAUAAUACUGCUAACAUUAAAC